GUCCACGCCGUAAACGAUGGGUACUAGGCGUCUGGGAGCGACCCCUGGGUGCCGGCGCUAACGCAUGAAGUACCCGCCUGGGAGUACGGCCGCAAGGCUGAAACUCAAAGGAAUUGACGGGCCCGCACAAGCGGUGGAGCAUGUGGUUUAAUUCGACGCAACGCGAAGAACCUUACCUGGGUUUGACAUGCUGGAGAAAGCUUUCAGAAACGAGAGCCCCUCUUCGGAGUUCCAGCACAGAUGCUGCAUGGCUGUCGU
rnacentral:rRNA from 1 species